rnacentral:rRNA from 1 species
UACGGCAGGCAGCAGUGGGGAAUAUUGCACAAUGGGCGCAAGCCUGAUGCAGCCAUGCCGCGUGUAUGAAGAAGGCCUUCGGGUUGUAAAGUACUUUCAGUCGUGAGGAAGGUGUUAAGGUUAAUAACCUUAGCAAUUGACGUUAGCGACAGAAGAAGCACCGGCUAACUCCGUGCCAGCAGCCGCGGUAAUACGGAGGGUGCGAGCGUUAAUCGGAAUUACUGGGCGUAAAGGGCACGCAGGCGGUUAAUUAAGUUGGAUGUGAAAUCCCCGGGCUUAACCUGGGAAUGGCAUUCAAGCUGGUUAGCUAGAGUCUUGUAGAGGGGGUAGAAUUCCAUGUGUAGCGGUGAAAUGCGUAGAGAUGUGGAGGAAUACCGGUGGCGAAGGCGGCCCCUGGGACAAAGACUGACGCUCAUGUGCGAAAGCGUGGGGAGCAAACGAGGAUUAGAU